AGAAAAUAGAUACCCUGGUAGUCCUAGCCGUAAACUCUGAGAACUUGAUUGAAGGACCCUCCAUAGUCUUUCAGUCGUAGCGAAAAGUGUUAAGUUCUCCGCCUGGGGAGUAUGGUCGCAAGGCUGAAACUCAAAGAAAUUGACGGGGGCUCACACAAGCGGUGGAGGAUGUGGCUUAAUUCGAGGCUACGCGAAGAACCUUAUCCUAGUCUUGACAUGCAUUUCUAAGUCGGUGAAAGCCGGCGAGUGUAGCAAUACACAACUUGCACAGGUGCUGCGUGGCUGUCGUCAGCUCGUGUCGUGAGAUGUCGCGUUAAGUCGCUUAACGAGCGAAACCCUUGUCCUUAGUUACCAGCGAGUAAUGUCGGGGACUCUAAGGAGACUGCCGGUGUUAAACCGGAGGAAGGUGGGGAUGACGUCAAGUCCUCAUGGCCUUUAUGGCUAGGGCUGCACACGUCCUACAAUGGCACACACAGAGGGAAGCAAAACCGUGAGGUCAAGCAAAUCCCAGAAAAUGUGCCCCAGUUCGGAUUGAA
rnacentral:rRNA from 1 species